rnacentral:rRNA from 1 species
GGUAUCCUGAGUAGCGCGGGACACGAGAAAUCUUGCGUGAAUCCGCCGGGACCAUCCGGUAAGGCUAAAUACUCCCGAGAGACCGAUAGCGAACCAGUACUGUGAAGGAAAGGUGAAAAGCACUUCGAACAGAAGAGUGAAAUAGUCCCUGAAACCAUGCGCCUACAAGCGGUCGGAGCAGCGUAAGUUGUGACGGCGUGCCUUUUGCAUAAUGAACCUACGAGUUACUUUUUCCGGCAAGGUUAAGCAUCUUGAGAUGCGCAGCCGAAGCGAAAGCGAGUCUGAACAGGGCGAUAAGUCGGAAGGAGUAGACGCGAAACCAAGUGAUCUACCCUUGGUCAGGUUGAAGGUUAGGUAACACUAACUGGAGGACCGAACCGAUAAGCGUUGAAAAGCUUCCGGAUGAACUGAGGGUGGGGGUGAAAGGCUAAUCAAACUUGGAGAUAGCUCGUACUCCCCGAAAUGCAUUUAGGUGCAGCCUUGUGAGUUACUAAUGUGAGGUAGAGCGACUGAUAAGAUGCGAGGGCUUCACCGCCUAUCAAGUCUUGACAAACUCCGAAUGCGCAUCAGUCCUACCGCAGGAGUGAGGGCAUGGGUGCUAAGGUCCGUGCCCGAGAGGAGAAGAAUCCGGACCACCUGCUAAGGUCCCGA